GAUGAACGCUGGCGGCGUGCCUAAUACAUGCAAGUCGAGCGAACAGACGAGGAGCUUGCUCCUCUGACGUUAGCGGCGGACGGGUGAGUAACACGUGGAUAACCUACCUAUAAGACUGGGAUAACUUCGGGAAACCGGAGCUAAUACCGGAUAAUAUAUUGAACCGCAUGGUUCAAUAGUGAAAGACGGUUUUGCUGUCACUUAUAGAUGGAUCCGCGCCGCAUUAGCUAGUUGGUAAGGUAACGGCUUACCAAGGCAACGAUGCGUAGCCGACCUGAGAGAGUGAUCGGCCACACUGGAACUGAGACACGGUCCAGACUCCUACGGGAGGCAGCAGUAGGGAAUCUUCCGCAAUGGGCGAGAGCCUGACGGAGCAACGCCGCGUGAGUGAUGAAAGUCUUCAGAUCGUAAAACUCUGUUAUUAGUGAAAAACAAAUGUGUAAGUAACUGUGCACGUCUUGACGGUACCUAAUCAGAAAGCCACGGCUAACUACGUG
rnacentral:rRNA from 1 species